UUCAUAUGUUUUUAUCUCCUUUGUUAUUCUGAUUACGAGUCGCAUUACCAAUCAUUCAACAAUUAUAGUUUGAUAUUUUAGUUCCAUCUCAAUCAUUCAUUUAUGCCUGAUCAGCCAUGAACGUGCAACUACAUUAAAGUUUGCAUUAAAAUUUUGUUUGCAAAUAGAGGUCAGCGAAGCCUUUUCUUGGCCCAGACAGACCUGCACCGCCUGCCCACCCGACAGGAGCUAUAACUAUUCUACAUAUUUAGGAGACAUUUAAUAUUGUGUGCGGCGUGCAGGCUAUUCAUUUAGGACAUGAUUUCCUUUUAAAAGGUCUAUAUUUUGGCCAGAUUUUUUUUACACUGAGAGGCUUAAAUUCUCUGGAUAUAUCUCACUUUGGGGUUUGUAUUUUGCUAUUCUCGACCAUGAUAAUUAAUGGUAUAUUCUGUGGCAUAAAGAUUAUGCCUCAUGUAUGUAGUGACGCAAAGGACCCGUGUACACGCAUCACAUAGAGGAGGCGGCUGAUAGCAGGCAAGCGUUUCCCAAAUAUCAUAUUAUAGUACUAGCUUUCUAGAAUUAAAUGGAACUACAUAUUGUUUUCAACUUCUAAGCAAUGUAUUUAUAUGCCUAUUUGACAAAUUCCCCUUUAAUCUGAAUCACAAGAAACAGAGAGUAUACAGAGAGUGCGUGGGAGAAAUUUACGUGCCAUCAUGAGGAAAGAGGGAACAACCUACGGUAUGUUGAUUCUAUAUCUCGAGCAAAGCAGAUUCUUACCUCGAUACCUGCAAGAGCAAGAGAAGCAUACAACCAUAGCCAGGUAAUCGUGUCAUUCACAGAUCAUUGGUGACAGAGGCAUAUUUUAUUUAAAGGUGCCUCUGUUUCAUAACAUGUCUGAUUAUGUGUCGCGGGAUUAUAUAUUGGGGGCACUAGCUAGCAAAACAGUAAUUCUUGUAACCCAUCAAGUCGGGUUCAUACCAUCUACUGACUUCAUACUGGUAAUAACAUUAUCCUUACAGUCGAAGCACUACUUUUUAGAGGCUAAUGCACAUGGUAUAUAUGCUGUUUCAAAUUUAUCAGCAUGUUAAGUUGUUCAAUUCGGUGUGUUGUUUAUGCAUGUUUCCUGAUGAGAAUAAUACAACAGAUUCUGCAUGAAAGUUUUGCCAUCUUUUGUAAUAUUUCUCAUUAGAAUGUUCAUGGGAUAAUGGGCCCUUGGUCUCUCAUUUGUGCUUUAUUUUUCUCAUGGCACAUGCUCAAGGAUGGUCAUAUCGCCCAAGAUGGAAAAUAUGAGGAUCUUCUCCAAGCUGGAACUGAGCUCAAUGCACCAAGAACAAAAUCAAUUGAAGCAACACUUCGUGUAUAAUGUAUUGUGAACCUUGGAUUGAGCUCAUGUGUGUGGUUUAUGUAUUGUGAGCCUUGGAUUGAGGUCAUGUGUGAGGCUAAUGUAUUGUGAGCCUUUUACUUUGUAAUAUGUGAUAAUGAUGUGACAGGCUCAUGGAUUGUGGACACCAAAUUUAUGUGGCAAUUCUGUAAUGUGGAGUACCCAUGAUGACAUGACAAUGCCUAAAUGAUGCCAAUUUUUCUGUCUAA